rnacentral:tRNA from 1 species
GCCUGGCUGGCUCAGUUGGUAGAGCGUGUGACUCUUGAUCUCAAGGACAUGAGCUUGAGCCCCAUGUUGGGCA